rnacentral:rRNA from 1 species
CCUACGGGAGGCAGCAGUGAGGAAUAUUGGUCAAUGGGCGAGAGCCUGAACCAGCCAAGUAGCGUGAAGGAUGAAUGAUCUACGGGUUGUAAACUUCUUUUAUAAAGGAAUAAAGUGAGGCACGUGUGCCUUUUUGUAUGUACUAUAUGAAUAAGGAUCGGCUAACUCCGUGCCAGCAGCCGCGGUAAUACGGAGGAUGCGAGCGUUAUCCGGAUUUAUUGGGUUUAAAGGGAGCGUAGGUGGGUUGUUAAGUCAGUUGUGAAAGUUUGCGGCUCAACCGUAAAAUUGCAAUUGAUACUGGUAGUCUUGAGUACAUUUGAGGUAGGCGGAAUUCGUGGUGUAGCGGUGAAAUGCUUAGAUAUCACGAAGAACUCCGAUUGCGAAGGCAGCUUACUAAACUGCCACUGACAUUGAUGCUCGAAAGUGUGGGUAUCAAACAGGAUUAGAUACCCUUGUAGUC